GGCGCAAGCCUGAUCCAGCCAUGCCGCGUGAGUGAUGAAGGCCCUAGGGUUGUAAAGCUCUUUUGUGCGGGAAGAUAAUGACGGUACCGCAAGGAAUAAGCCCCGGCUAACUUCGUGCCAGCAGCCGCGGUAAUACGAAGGGGGCUAGCGUUGCUCGGAAUCACUGGGCGUAAAGGGUGCGUAGGCGGGUCUUUAAGUCAGGGGUGAAAUCCUGGAGCUCAACUCCAGAACUGCCUUUGAUACUGAAGAUCUUGAGUUCGGGAGAGGUGAGUGGAACUGCGAGUGUAGAGGUGAAAUUCGUAGAUAUUCGCAAGAACACCAGUGGCGAAGGCGGCUCACUGGCCCGAUACUGACGCUGAGGCACGAAAGCGUGGGGAGCAAACAGGAUUAGAUAC
rnacentral:rRNA from 1 species